rnacentral:rRNA from 1 species
GAUGAAUGCUGGCGGCGUGCCUAACACAUGCAAGUCGAGCGGCAGCGCGAGUAGUUUACUACUUGGCGGCGAGCGGCGGACGGCUGAGUAACGCGUGGGAACGUGCCCCAAAGUGAGGGAUAACUGCUCGAAAGAGUAGCUAAUACCGCAUAUGGUCUUCGGAUUAAAGGAUUUAUCCGCUUUGGGAGCGGCCCGCGUUAGAUUAGGUAGUUGGUGAGGUAAAGGCUCACCAAGCCGACGAUCUAUAGCUGGUCUGAGAGGAUGAUCAGCCAGACUGGGACUGAGACACGGCCCAGACUCCUACGGGAGGCAGCAGUGAGGAAUCUUCCACAAUGGGCGAAAGCCUGAUGGAGCAACGCCGCGUGCAGGAUGAAGGCCUUCGGGUUGUAAACUGCUUUUAUGAGUGAAGAAUAUGACGGUAACUCAUGAAUAAGCACCGGCUAACUACGUG